UCACCGGCAUCAUUGCUGUCGUUGCCUUCCUCUUCCUCGCCUUCGUCGCUGUCCUGGUGAAGAAGGCCUGGUGUGCGGAGUCCAGCAGGGCGAUGACCUCCCUGGACAGGGUGAGAGAAAAUGAAUUUGUCAUGGCCAAUGAACACGAAUACGCCACCAGUCUGGACAUGGUCAGGAGCAAAGAGGACGAGAACGCCUAUGACAACCCGGUGAUUGACAACACUGACAACAAAGUUACUGCCAUGUGACCGUCCUGGCCUGAUCCCAUUGGCUGUCUGAGUGUUGUUCUCACCAACUCUGGACCAACACACACUUUUUUUUUUAUAUGGGGGGGGG